GUCGAACGAGAAUCUGUGGAAAGAGGAUUCGUCCAAUUGAAGCAGAGGACAGUGGCGGACGGGUGAGUAACGCGUGAGGAACCUGCCUUUCAGAGGGGGACAACAGUUGGAAACGACUGCUAAUACCGCAUGACACAUAGGUGUCGCAUGGCACUUAUGUCAAAGAUUUAUCGCUGAAAGAUGGCCUCGCGUCUGAUUAGCUAGUUGGUGAGGUAACGGCCCACCAAGGCGACGAUCAGUAGCCGGACUGAGAGGUUGAACGGCCACAUUGGGACUGAGAUACGGCCCAGACUCCUACGGGAGGCAGCAGUGGGGAAUAUUGGGCAAUGGGCGCAAGCCUGACCCAGCAACGCCGCGUGAAGGAAGAAGGCUUUCGGGUUGUAAACUUCUUUUGUCAGGGACGAGUAGAAGACGGUACCUGACGAAUAAGCCACGGCUAACUACGUGCCAGCAGCCGCGGUAAUACGUAGGUGGCAAGCGUUGUCCGGAUUUACUGGGUGUAAAGGGCGUGUAGCCGGGAGGGCAAGUCAGAUGUGAAAUCCACGGGCUCAACUCGUGAACUGCAUUUGAAACUACUCUUCUUGAGUAUCGGAGAGGCAAUCGGAAUUCCUAGUGUAGCGGUGAAAUGCGUAGAUAUUAGGAGGAACACCAGUGGCGAAGGCGGAUUGCUGGACGACAACUG
rnacentral:rRNA from 1 species